rnacentral:lncRNA from 1 species
CCUGCAAGAGGCAAACUCUUAAAGCUGUAGAAGAUGCCAACUAAGGGCUCUCUUGUAUGACAAAAUGAUGCUUCAAAUGAGAAGGUGAUGGCUUGAAACUAGGAAAACACCAGCACUUACUCGGUUCUCCUCUGGCAUGCAUUUGACAUCCUAGGACUAAAAGUGACCAGUUUACCCAUUGGAAAUGGAAAUCCAAGUUAUCCACAAGGUGAGGUGAGCAGUAGGGUGAGUUUCCUCAGCUACUAUUUAGUCUGUAUAUUACUCCUUGAGGAGAAAGGGUGAUUUAGUCAAAUUUUUUUUUUCCUUUUUGAUUCAUCAGGAGCACCAGGGUAUUUAGUUGAUAAAGAUAGGCUUAGAAGCCAUCAUCCCAAACCCUUAAUUAAGAUCUAGUGUGACAAUAAGUCAAUGAAACAACUACAUGGACCUGGUUUCAUAUUUUAAGGAAAACAGUAUAGCACAAAUCCUGUACUUUUAAGUUAAUUAAAUCCUUAUCUUUUC